rnacentral:pre_miRNA from 1 species
AAAAAAAUCACCUGGGGAUCUUGUUCAAAUGAAGAUCCUGAUUUGAUGGGAACUGAGAGUCUGCAUUCCUAACAAGCUCCCAGGUGAUGCCACU